CAGCACUGCAAGUGGCAAUCACGUUUAUUGGGCCUAAAGCGUUCGUAGUCGGCUUAUUAAGUCUUCUGUUAAACUGUAACCCAAAAAGUUGCAUCUGCAAAAGAUACUGUUAAGCUAGGAACCGGAGAGGGGUUAGAGGUAUCCAUGGGGGAGCGGUAAAAUGUGAUAAUCCCAUGUAGACCACCUGUGGCGAAGGCGUCUAACUAGAACGGCUUCGACGAUGAGGAACGAAAGCCAGGGGAGCGAAACGGAUUAGAGACCCGAGUAGUCC
rnacentral:rRNA from 1 species